rnacentral:lncRNA from 1 species
CCGGAGUACCGCUCCGGCCCUGAGCCUCCGCUACAUAUUCACCGGGCCCUUCAGCCACGCCGGCCCUUCACCUUGAGAACCCUGUAGAACUGGUUCACACAGAAAUCAGCCGCCUGGGCCGUGUCGGUGUUAAAGCCUGUUUCUUCUGAUCCCCAGCAGAACACAAGUGGACCAGUGGAUGAUUUUCUCUUGCCUCAGCAAGGGAUGCCACAGUCCCUGGAAUCUGUCAACCACUAGCCUCUGAGCUUUAAAAGCCAGCUGGAUGAAGGGAUGUAACGCGCACCUGGGAGGGACACUG